rnacentral:ncRNA from 1 species
AAAGGGGUGCCACCUUAUUUGGGUGAGCUGAGAUUAUACCCGUAUAACCUGAUGCAGAUAAUGCUGCCGUAGGAAGUGCGAAUAUAG